rnacentral:lncRNA from 1 species
GGUAAGCCUCAAACUGAUUUUAUCGUAAUUAAACAUUUUUCCAAAAUCGAACAAAUCACAGUCACGUCCAAUGAAUAAGCUAAAACAAAUGCUAACUAACACUCAAAAUGACGCCACUUAAUAUUACUAAAGAAAAAAAAAUAAAAAGAUACUACAUGAAACACCUUUUAUCAAACAAACUUUCCAUGAAAUAGUUGGCAAUUAACUCCAUGUGUAUACAUAAUCGGAUAAUACAAAUCGGAUAUCAAACAAUACGAAACGCACAGCAUCACACUUUCAACAAAGAAAUGGUGAAGUAGCUUCAACUGGGCUCCAACCAUGUGACAGAAUAUUUAACAAAACAGUAAGGUCCAAUAAUUGGCCCUGAACCACGAAAAUCGUGCGAUUAUCAGAAUUAUAUUCUACUCAUCACAUCUUGAUUGUAUUAAAAAAAUAUCAACAUUUAGAGCCGAAAUUUAAACAACGAACGGACCUCAAAUGGCGACAAUCUGAACAAAGACGACAACAAAUCAGACGCGAAACCACAAACCUCGUCCUCUAGCAACACAGCUGAACCAGGCUACACCAACAAAGCUCCACACAAAAUCCAUGAAUGAAAAUCGAAACCAAAAACUAUUAUUUUUGACUCUCUGUAUGUGUGUGCGCGACUGAAAAUUGGUAGGAAGAUGAAGGUCCAAUGGUGUGUUUAUUGUCGAUUUCCUAACCCUUUCUUUCCUUCACUCCUCUCAUAUCUCUCUCGUGUAUCUCUGCAGGUGUGUGUGUUUUUUGUGAAGGAAUUUCCAUUUUAUUGAAUGGAGUAGGUCGUUUGGAGGAAGAAAACUCCAGAGCUUUUGUUUGAAGAAGCCUAGAUGCUGGUUCUCUUUUGGAGUUAUUGCCGGAUUCAGGCGAGCUUGGUGGUAAAUGGAGGAGCUGGUGGUUGCUGGUUCAUUUGCCGGCAAGUGAAGUAGAAGGGUUUGUUGUUUUUGUUCCUUGGGGUGCUGCUGGGAGGGCUGUUGUUUUCUUGGUUAAGCAGAAGCCAUGAAAAUUGGCUCUUCUUCUUUGUAGAAGAAGAUGAGAUCGACAGAGGGGUGUGUGGUUCGGAGAAGAUGAUCUUCAGCGGGUCCCUUUUGGGCGCAGCCCCUCUUCAGGCGUAUAUCUAUCAGCGUGUCUGUGUAAUAUGUAUUGGGUCUAGGGUUUUUUAGGUGGGGGAAUGAGUUUGUGUACUGGGUCAGGUCGGGUCGAUCCAGUUUGGAGUUGGGUAGGGGCUGAUUUGGGUUGGGGUGAGUUAUAUGGAUUAGAG